UACGUAGGUGGCAAGCGUUAUCCGGAAUUAUUGGGCGUAAAGCGCGCGCAGGUGGUUUCUUAAGUCUGAUGUGAAAGCCCACGGCUCAACCGUGGAGGGUCAUUGGAAACUGGGAGACUUGAGUGCAGAAGAGGAAAGUGGAAUUCCAUGUGUAGCGGUGAAAUGCGUAGAGAUAUGGAGGAACACCAGUGGCGAAGGCGACUUUCUGGUCUGUAACUGACACUGAGGCGCGAAAGCGUGGGGGAGCAAACAGGA
rnacentral:rRNA from 1 species